rnacentral:snoRNA from 1 species
CCGUGAUGACACCCUUUCACGACGGUCUUAUGACAGCGCAGUGAUUCUGGUCUGUUCUGACG